CGACCCCAGGUCAGGCGGGACUACCCGCUGAGUUUAAGCAUAUAAAUAAGCGAAGGAGAAGAAACUUAGAAGGAUUCCCCAAGUAAUGGCGAGCAACCGGGAGCAGCCCAGCUUGAGAAUCGUGCGACUGUGCCGUCCGAAUUGUAGUAUGGAGAGGCGUCCUCAACGACGAACCGGGCCCAUGUCCCCUGGAAAGGGGCGCCUCGGAGGGUGAGAGCCCCGUCCGGCCCGGACCCUAUCGCCCCACGAGGCGCCGUCAACGAGUCGGGUUGUUUGGGAAUGCAGCCCAAAUCAAUCGGUAGACUCCGUCCAAGGCUAAAUACAGGCGAGAGACCGAUAGCGAACAAGUACCGCGAGGGAAAGAUGAAAAGGACUUUGAAAAGAGAGUCAAAGAGUGCUUGAAAUUGCCGGGAGGGAAGCGGAUGGGCGCCGGCGAUGCGCCCCGGCCGUAUGCGGAACGACUCUAGCUGGUCCGCCGCUCGGCUCGGGGUGUGGACAGUUGUCGACCGCGCCGGCGGCCAAAGGCCGGGGACCCUAGGUGACGGUGUCCUGGACUAGGGGGUACUCACCACGUCGUCCCCCGAUCAGUUAGAUUGGGCCGAGGAACCCCAUGGCCGUAUACUCAUGGGCCAGUUUGGAUAGUUGCCGCAUACAAGGAAGAUUCCGCAAGACUUGGUGAUAAAGACAACGACUCCUCCCCACCGGCGUAUUCGGCUAGGACUCUUGUCAUCCUAGGUCUCUGGUGCAUUAUAUAAACUGAGGCUAGGCUAGUCGAUAGAUAUAUACAACAAUCAUAAUCACAGGCUAGCUUCUAGGGUUUAGCCUCUACGAUCUCGUGGUAGAUCAACUCUUGUAAUACUCAUAUCAUCAAGAUCAAUCAAGCAGGAAGUAGGGUAUUACCUCCAUCGAGAGGGCCCAAACCUGGGUAAACAUUGUGUCCCCCGCCUCUUGUUACCCAUCGAUCCAUGACACACAGCUUGGGACCCCCUACCCGAGAUCCACCAGUUUAGACACCGACAUUGGUGCUUUCAUUGAGGGUUCCGUUGUGUGAUCGGCAAAAGUAUCGAUGGCUCGUCUGCAGAUUAACUGCGACGUCGACAUCUUUGUCACCGGCUCGACUGGUCAACUUGGCUUGACCGAGGACUGUGCCCUGCCUCGGAUUGUCAUAUUUGGACGAGGGCCUUCAUCAACACCAACUCCAAUCUCUAUCAAGAUCAUGGAGGAAUCAUCCAUGGAGUUCGGGGGCUCAAUGUCAACAUUGCCCUUGGGUGACCGUGCUGUUUUUUUGGACAGCAAACUCGUAUCCGCUGCCACCGCCUCCUCGAGUGUCGUUUUAACGAUCACUUCGGUGGAAUUUUGCGGAAUUGAGUCUACAACAACCCUGCAAAAUUUCGUCGAGUUCCGAUGGAGGAAUCUCUGACAAUCUAUGAUAUACCGGAGCCCUAUCAAAUCCAGACGGGAAUCGAGUUUAGGGCGUGGUCUCCAGAGCCCAGCUCGAGUCCCUUGGAAGAUCCAACCGUUCAUUCGCUGCGGAAUUCCCAUAUCUACCACCCCUCAAAAUUUCAGCUCGACCCGACCGUCCAAACUCCGGGAACCUUCCGAUUAGUGCAUCACUUUUCAGAUCUAUUUUCUGCGCGAAUACGGAUCCGAUCCGAAUACAUGUUUCUCUAUGAACGUGAUAUUGGACAACAUUUUCAAUGGAAUUUUAUUCUAAGGUAUUGCGCAUUGUUCUUAACACGUGCCCAUAAAAUUUUAAGCCUCCUCUGAGGUAAUCUUCGCCAUCACGCUGGUGUCAAACUAGUCCGGCAAUAUAGCUCCACGGCUGCCGACCUGCGCUAGACAUGUCGUCGCUUUUUGAGCCGACCUCAACUUCUUCGAAUCCUCACCUCGGCGAGCCGAGCAAGAGUUCGGAAUCGCCAAAGGUAAAUCAUCACCAACAUCGCCGCCCCGCAGAUUACACGGAGCGGGCACACCGGCAUCGCCGCAUGGUCACUUCAUCAAACCAGCAUUGGCCGCGUCAUAAGUUACGGCAUGCGUCAGCAUGGCCGCAUUGUUGCUUCUUCGAGCCGAUGUCCAUCACGCCGAAAUACCUCAACACCUCGGCUGACAUGGCGGCUGCAACGACUCCUCACCGACCUGCUCCGUCACGUCGGCUAGACUGGGGACUUGGCUAUUUCUUCGCCAACAUACUCCGGUGACUUCGGUGUCACCAGCCGACCAGCUUCGUCACGUUAGCUGGACCGAGGGCUUCGCCAUGCCGUCGCUUUAUCGCUCAUCAGGCAAUGGGUAUGCGGAUCGAUUCCCAAUUUUGGGAGUCGCUUUUCUUCGGACUGCUACAACAGAUAAACCAGGUGCUAUUAAUCCUAGUAAUUUCUUCUUGCUUGGGUUUACUUUUCCGAAGAAUUAUGAUUCUGGUUUGGUCCAUCAUCUGUACACAGUAUGUCAAAUGAUAGCCACAUUAACGACGGUCGCGUGGUGGUUCAGUCGGUUUCCGUAUAUAGUUCGGCGAAGAACGCCUCCGGAACCCGGACCGCCCUGCAAACUCAAGCUUUGUCACGCCUUCACUGUGUCAUGCCGAUGCCCUGCAUCGACAUUGGCUUUGGCGCCAGGCCACAUCCAUUUUAUUUUGCGUAAAUUAAUAAUGCAAGGAUUUUUAUAUAUUUAUAUUAUUAUUGUUGGCCUGCACUAUUUUACAUGUGCAGGUAAUGGACUUUGACUGCGUCACGUGGUCUCUUCGACGUCACUCUGCCGGCCUACAUUGGCCGUGCAAUGUAACCACUUCGGAGUGCCGAGCUCUUCGCUCCGCCACCUCGGGACUGGCUUGGGGGAUGGAACCUUGUACCGCAUCAAGCUCGGGCCAUGUCAUCAAUGCCGAACGCAUUAACCAGCUAAGUCGCUUUCAUGCUCAAAGCUUUAAAUUUUUAACCUGCGUUCGGUUCGACCAAGCAUUAUACUUUUUUGAAAAAAGUUGUUUGUGUAAAAUUCCUUGUCAUAACUUUGUUUGUGACACACAUACUCAAAUCCCCUUUUUAUUUGGGGGGUCCCUUGAUGGAGAUUUUCCUCUUGCAUAUGAUUAUACUUGUACGGCUUCGUUCCUUGUUCGUGUAUUACGCCACAAUAUGCACCAUAUUGACCUAAGCGAUUUGCAAGCUGGGUUGCCUUGCUCCUGUGUUUACCUCUACGUUCCCGAUUGUUCGGCUAGGGAGUAAAGGGAGCACAACUGCGAUUGUCACGAUUGGGUCAUCUGUGCCGGACCUCAGACUGGGUGAAGCCGAAAGCUAGCGCUCUUACUGUUUUCAAUAAUGGUCGGCACACAACGGAACUCAUGAGUACAAAAAAUCUAUUGCACAAGUCUCAUAGUAAUAAUGAGCAACCGAAGAAAGGUAUCGGUGGGGGUACUCUUUUCUUCGAAGAUGCUUCUUACACUUUGUCUAGUAUGGCAUAAGUUCCCUGAGCGCGCUUUGUCUAUUACAGCCUUAUGGCCUGAUUGCCAGGUUAUCGGAAACACCGUCGAUAUUCUCGACAGGUGGAGUACAUAACACUUUUUGGUCCUUGACCGAAGAGGGAGAAGCUGACGGUCGGUUAAGACGCGUAUAAAGUUCGGGUGAACACACGUAUAUGAUAUAAGUACUUCGAUACAUACAAUCAUUAUACAUAAAAUUCUUUUACCCAAGUCACUUGGGGGCUCUUCAAUUUAUAUGAGUUGUUUUAUAGUAAAUGUGUUUUCUUCUUGGUCGUGGCAAAGUCUUUUUCUACCGCUCCUUUUUUGACCCGAAGUCUUGAGAUCGGAUUUGUCAUGUUAAAGCACAACAGAAGCACAAUUUUUUUCGAAUUCUCGGAUUGGCACCGAACACUUGAUCUUUUUCGGACGUCAUGUUUUAAUUGACUUUUUUGGUUGUCCAAGCUUUUGGCACAUUUAAACUAUUUGUGUGUUUCCAACAUAAGUCUCGCAGUGCAAUGCCGGACAUCAUUAGAGAUUCGGCAAAAACAUUCUCGGAUGUUGCUAUAUAUGCAUCGGUCUCGAAUUGUGUCUUCGGUCAAUAGUUGGGCUGCCCGGCUCCUGUGCUUGACUCCUAUGUUCCGCUUUGUUCGGCUAGGUGUGCAACGGGAGAACCACUGCGAUUGUGCUUCUAGCUCACAUGGUUAAGCACCUUAGUGGAGAAAGCCAAAAACUGACUGUCACAAUAAGCGCAAACUGGUCAGCGAUCCGAUAACCGUGUUAAAUGAUGGGCCGUUCAUAACAUUGGCCGAAGUGUUUACGGCUUGACCUCAGCUGUCGCCGAACACUAACCGGGGGCUCGUAGCUAGCUUCCCCAGUUUAAAGCUCCUAUGACUAAGUGAAAGUUAUAAAGCCAAAGAUAUCUGAUUGCCUCGUUUCCGCUAACACAACCGCCUCUGGGCACCGAGACGUCGGCUAAGGGUUGUCUGGUUAUUGCAAAAACACCAUGCGUAGUAUCUACAAAGGGGUAGAAGCCGACGAUGGGCCACUUUCAACUGAUAAAUAGUCGCAAUGAAGUCAAAAUAAGUAUAUAUCAUCAGCAUUUGUAUUCAUUAUACAAGCGUUUCCUUCCGUACUUAUCGUUAUAAAGCCAUAAAUAUGCAUCAAUUUGACUUAAGAUUUUGGCCAAGUUGGGUUGCCUGGCUCCUGUGCUUACCCCUACGUUCCCGAUUGUUCGGCUAGGCGGUAAAGGGAGCACCUCUGUUAUUGUUACUACCGGGUCAUCCGAGUUAGUACCUCAGACUGGGUGAAGCCGAAAGCUAGCAAUCUUAAAGGAUCACAGUGGUCGGCAAUGACGGAAGUAAAAUUUUUGGUUCAUUAAUACCAUAGAGUUCGGGAUCUUUUCCCGAACUAAAUCCUCAAUAUUUUCCUCCCACAUUGAUCGGAGCUGAGGUUUCAUGAUCAUGCUUAGCAUGACAACCCAAAGAAAGGAACCGAUAGUGGGACUAUUUUCUUUGGAAGAUGUUUCUUACGUUAAAAAGAAAUAUAACAUAUCUCUCCGCGUACCUUUGUUUAUAAAGCCGUAUGGCCGGAUUGCCUUGUUUGCCGUAAGUCUUUGCCCUCAUAAAGGCUUUAUAAAGUAGGACAAACACUCCUCGGCUGUUGGCCAAGGAGGUGGAAGCCGAUGGUCGGUCAACAAAGUUUUUUACAAUGCGGAUCUGAGCAUUAAUGAUGUAGAGUACUUGGAUACAUAGAACAUUACACAUACUUUGUGAUUUUACUCUGGAUAUCGAUCCUUAAUUCGGCUACCCGUGCCCACAUUAAGGCUCGGUGCCUACUGGGCUUCUGCUUAUCAUUUACAAAUAUUAAAGGGGUACGUCGAUCCCCUGAUCUGGUGUUGCCACCCGACCAGCUGUGUCUCGGGGGCUAUGGCAUUGCCUAUUCAAUGCAGAAAAUUUGCAGUGCUCAAUGUUCGGCUUGACCGAACUAUGCGCAAGCGCGUCUUCGGACAAUAAUAGGUACCAUCUGCACCUAUCCGGCAUCAAGCUAACAUAUUACGACGACUUCUCAAGACCCUCUAUCAAGGGCCUGUUCGCCGAUCACUAUUUUCCCUAAUAUAUUACACCGCGUUUCUAUUCCUAAGUAUGCCACCGAGCUGGGAAUUGAUCCUUAGGCCGAUUUCAUGAAUCGACCUGAGUCUCAGGGGCUACUGGGGUCAGCGGUUUGAUUUUAUCCUUUCGGUUCAUCCCGGAUAUUAGGCCAACAUGCACCUUGAGGGCUACUAGCUAUACAUCUCGUCAGAGAUUACAUUGCACAAUUCGGAAUUAAAUUCAUAAAAAUCAGCCCGUGGCCAAGGUGGUGCACCACCUCGGAAGCAGUCCGGCAUAAAGCUCGGGCGCCAGUGGCUGGCUCCAUAGAGGGCAUUUCCGGUAUUAAGCUUAGCUAAACUCUUUCAAAAAAUUUCAACCAAGGUGAUCUAUGACACCUCGGAUAUAAUCCGGCAUUGGAGCUCGGAUAUAGUCCGGCGUUGGAGCUUGGACACAGUCCGGCGUUGGAUCCUGGAUACAUUCCGGCGUUGGAGCUCGGAAGCAGUCCGGCGUUGGAGCUCGGACGCAAGAGUACAAUGCCGCCCGGGAACAACUUCAAACCCGAGGUGUGGCAUAAAAAUAACAAGGCAUUGAUAAAGGCCGAGAACUUAAAGGGGCUCCUCGGAUACCCGACGUGUAAACUCUUCGGAUUUACUUUGGUGAUUCUCAAGAUCGAAGAUGAGCAGAUUUGUUGAACCAGUUUUCAAGACCAAAGAACGAAGAUGAAGAACAAUGCGGAAGAAUCGAGGAGCGUCCCCAACUUGAAGACCAGUUUAGGGGGCUACUGACGGUGUCCUGGACUAGGGGUACUCACCAUGUCGUUUCCCGAUCAGUUAGAUUGGGCCGAGGACCCCCAUGGCCGUAUACUCAUGGGCCAGUUUGGACAGUUGCCGCAUACAAGGAAGAUUCCACAAGACUUGGUGAUCAAGACAAGGACUCCUCCCCACCGGCGUAUUCGGCUAGGACUCUUGUCAUCCUAGGCCUCUGGUGCAUUAUAUAAACCGAGGCCAGGCUAGUCGAUAGAUAUAUACAACAAUCAUAAUCAUAGGCUAGCUUCUAGGGUUUAGCCUCUACGAUCUGGUGGUAGAUCAACUCUUGUAAUACUCAUAUCAUCAAGAUCAAUCAAGCAGGAAGUAGGGUAUUACCUCCAUCGAGGGGGCCCGAAACUGGGUAAACAUUGUGUCCCCCGCCUCCCAUUACCCAUUGAUCCAUGACACACAGCUUGGGACCCCCUACCCGAGAUUCGCCGGUUUUGACACCGACACUAGGUGCCCCCGGUGGCGGUCGUCGACACGGCUGGUACCCGCGCGCCGAAAGGCGUGUCCCUCGGGGCACUGCGCUGCAAUGGCCUGCGGGCUCCCCUUCCGACCCGUCUUGAAACAUGGACCAAGGAGUCUGACAUGCAUGCGAGUCGACGGGUUCUGAAACCUGGGAUGCGGAAGGAAGCUGACGAGCGGGAGGCCCUCACGGGCCGCACCGCUGGCCGACCCUGAUCUUCUGUGAAGGGUUCGAGUUGGAGCACGCCUGUCGGGACACGAUAGAUGGUGAAUUAUGCCUGAGCGGGGCAAAGCCAGAGGAAACUCUGGUGUAGGCUCGAAGCGAUACUAACGUGCAAAUCGUUCGUCUGACAUGGGUAUAGGGGCGAAAGACUAAUCGAACCAUCUAGUAUCCGGUUCCCUCCGAAGUUUCCCUCAGGAUAGCUGGAGCCCAUUACGAGUUCUAUCAGGUAACGCCAAUGAUUCGAGGCAUUGGGGACGCAACGUCCUCGACCUAUUCUAAAACUUUAAAUAGGUAGGAUGGCGCGGCUGCUUCGGUGAGCCGUGCCACGUAAUCGGGUGCUCCAAGUGGGCCAUUUUUGGUAAGCAGAACUGGCGAUGCGGGAUGAACCGGAAGCCGGGAUACGGUGCCCAACUUCGCGCUAACCUAGAACCCACAAAGGGUGUUGGUCGAUUAAGACAGCAGGACGGUGGUCAU
rnacentral:rRNA from 1 species